rnacentral:tRNA from 1 species
UGGGUCGCCUGGUCGAGCGGGUAGCCGGCGGUCUUCGGUACCAUCUGCACCAUGAAGGUGAAGCGGUACUCGUUUUCCGACAGACGAGCGGCCAGA